rnacentral:rRNA from 1 species
CAUACCUAUUCGAAGGGAUAGGGUCGGUUUGGCCGGAUUUCACACAGGUGUUGCAUGGCUGUCGUCAGCUCGUGUCGUGAGAUGUUGGGUUAAGUCCCGCAACGAGCGCAACCCUCAUCCUUAGUUACCAUCAGGUUAUGCUGGGGACUUUAAGGAAACUGCCAGUGAUAAACUGGAGGAAGGUGGGGAUGAUGUCAAGUCAUCAUGGCCCUUAUGGAGUGGGCUACACACGUGCUACAAUGGUGAUUACAAUGGGCUGCAAGGUCGCAAGGCUGAGCUAAUCCUAAAAAAUCAUCUCAGUUCGGAUUGUUCUCUGCAACUCGAGAGCAUGAAGUUGGAAUCGCUAGUAAUCGUGGAUCAACAUGCCACGGUGAAUACGUUCUCGGGUCUUGUACACACUGCCCGUCACGCCAUGGGAAUUGGUUUCACUCGAAGCU